rfam:Clostridium sp. CAG:167 genomic scaffold, scf324
CCGUACAGCUGGGGAGUUAGCGGUGCCCUGUACCUGCAAUCCGCUAUAGCAGGAGUGUUGCCCUAUCGAGGGUUUUGGAACAAAGCGCUGCCCGGAGUAAGUGGCGUUGAAGUUUGGGUCUUGUGCAACAGAAACUUGCGAACCGUGUCAGGUCAGGAAUGAAGCAGCACUAAGCAAAACUUUCUGUGUGACGCGAGGAAGCCUGAACGGAGUCAACUGCUUCGGUAACGGCUUUAGACCAUCAUUCGACAUAGGGCGUACGG